rnacentral:misc_RNA from 1 species
GAGAAUGCGAUAUGCAAUGUGAAUUGCAGAACUACGAAUCAUUUGAUCUUUGAACGCAAAUGGCGCUGAGGCAGCUCAGCAUACUUGUUUCAGUGUGCCUAACCAAAUAACAACCAGAUGUGGGAGAAAACUCUCUCAUUAAAUAAAUGCUCCAAGUAGCAGUCACUUCUUUUAGUGAGCUAUUUCCGAGUAAAUCUGUCUUAUUCGCACCUGAAAUCAAGUAAGAUCACCCGCUGGACUUAA